rnacentral:lncRNA from 1 species
UACAGACAUGUGAAAAAUAGCCUAAUAAGGAUCUUCGUGGUAAAAUCAGAUGGAAAACGGGGAGGCAGAGUCGCGUCUCCAGCAGCUCAUUCGACGCGGCGGCUCCUCCGAGUUGUACAAUAAUCAUCAGUGCUGGCCCGGUGCCGCUGGAUUAUUUUGUAUAUUCAUGAAGGCCCUCAUCAGCCGUCAGGAGACUGUGCAGUAAUCCUUGGAUGAAAUAAGGCCAAUCAGAGCGAUAAUGAGGAAGGUCAAUUGCCCAGAGGCUUCUCCUCCUGUUUUCCAUCUAUUUAUAUACGUGGACCAUAAUAAGCCUCUUGGAACCAGAAGUUACUGGGCCUACAUAAACACCUGCUCUGGUUUUUUGUUUGUCUUUUACCCGAAAUCAGCAAAGUUUUUUUUUUUUUAAAUGAAUCUGCAAAACCAUGUCAAAGCUAUCAACUCAUGCAUGGAGUCGGAAAACAAAGGAGGAUUCUAAUAAUGUUUAUUUUCCUCUUUAUCAGAGACCCCCCCCCCAUACAAAAUCCCAAACCAAAAGAGGAGCCUAUAAAGGAAUGUCUAAACUGCUCACAGAGCUUUCUUUUCACAAAACGAGCGAGAAACCAUCAACAGGGCAGGGAAGGCAAACACGUCUGCCCCACACUGCUUGUGCUUUCUUGGGUCACAGAGACACAUCCGAGCAGGUCAUGGGCUGCUUCCACCGACAGAUGUCCUGAUGUGAAGGAGAGUACCACUGAAGAAAAUGCCUGAACUGCUAUUAUCUGCAUCCUUCAAGCGCUUCCAUUGAAAUCACAUUUUGAAUUAGUUGGGGAGAAAGUGAGCUGCAUGCUGAAGCUGUACUUGAUAUCUGAAUCGCACUUCCGUGGGGAAGAAAAAAAUUAUCCCUUUUUAGGCAAAUUGCAUAUGAGACAAAUAAACGCAUUUAUUCACAGCAGCAAAAUGAAAGUCCCCAAGAAGUGUCACGCAGAAAUGCCUGGAUAUGUUAGGUCCCAGCACACCUCUGACGGCUUUUCUUCUCAUCACGUAGACAAUGUUUUCAAUGAAGAGCAUCCUGCUUAAAGUUCAUUAAGAAUUAUCUCAUUUUGUCUAAACAAGCUGACAGGGCAUCCUGGAUCAUUAG